CCAGUUCUAACUUUUAGAUUGUCUUGAACUGACGGUUUGUGAUGGGAGAUUGAGAACUGAAACUCAGUUGUUGGCAGGUUCUAUGAAUAUUCAAUGCUUUUUUGUAGUUUAAAACCUAGAAUCAGCUAUAUUGGCUUAGUUGCCUUGCUACUACUCUCAGAUGUUUUGUGAUCGGCAGAGACUAAAUAGGUCGCAUUGUUUAUGGACAGACUGAAGACUCGCUGCAAUUCAGCACUGGCAGAAGGAGUAACUGCGCU